CACCUAACAGCUAGCCUAAAUAAA
rnacentral:rRNA from 1 species